CAGAACUCUCUCACAAAGUCCUCCUCAGAGGCCAGCAGCACCGCGUUCCAGGCAGUGAUGUCCAGCUCUCCGGCCGUGCCCCCGUACUCUUUGGGGAGAAUGCUUCUUGGAAGGUCAUCUUACAGGACUAGAAAAACGCUGAUCCAAACUUAUUAUCCUGACACUUGAAUCUGCACAGUAUUUAGCAGGGGCACCAAAAGAAGAGUGGAAGCUGAGGAAAGCCAGAGUAUUGGCUCAAAGCCAGAAUUCAAAUUUCCAAUAAUGACCUAAUGUGACAUUGAUGUUUAAAUAAUCAGUCUGUGCACAGUAGGGGCCCAAACACACUGUGGAAUUCAAUGAGGAGAACUGUUGUUAUCUCUGGUGCCCCACACGUGACAAGAGACAGCACCCCUGUGGGUGGGUCAGAAUGAAUGAGGAGUCAACCUGUAUGAGCUGUGAGCUUGGGCCGGGCUACAUCCUCUGGGCCUCAGCUUCCCCAUCUAUCAAAAAGGAAAAAUAAUUCUUGCCUU